GCAGCAGAUUCAAUAUCUUGUAUCCAAACUUGUUAAAAUUGCGCGUAACGUUGCUCCUUUGCCCGUAACAUAAGGUUGCAGAAGUGGCUAUUACUUGUGUAUACAGCGGCAGUGAUUGCAGCUCCCUUGCUGGGUAAGCCGAAUCUGCAGUAAAUGUGCUUGUGAUUUGAAUUAUUAUUGCGAGUACUACACAACUAAUAACUAUACAUAGCAUUAAGCACUAACCCAAAUCUUUUUCGGUAAUUUCUUUUGCGCUGCAUUAUUUCGGAUUUUAUCAUAAGAUCGCUUGAGUACACUCUGAGAAAGCCAGAAUACGCAAGACAAUCCUCUGUAGCAGUACUUGUAUAAGCAAUAAUCGCUUGCACUAUUUGAUGCAUGAUUUGUUUGCCUUCGUUCAGCUAAUAAACGGUACUAUUCGUUAACAACUGUCACGUAAUGAUUUUUAUAUAGAUAACUGAGCGACAGCUCUGAUUCACUUUUAUAAUGUGCUUCUGUUUACUGAUUCAUUUGAGCGAUAUGCUCACUCGUGCUAUCUGAUAGCAUUAUUCUCUACUUGUUUGCCUACAAAUACUGCUGUUCUUUAUUUCUAAUGACAUUAACGGAUGCAUGCAUUCAGUACCACUUCCGACAGUACACUUUGUACUUAUGUCUGACCUCUUUCCUAAUAACAGUUCCCUGCCUCGCAUUGCCUUUCCGUUACUGUUAAUGCAUAAUAUAUUAUCAUAUAUUAGCAUACGCUACCGGCCGGUUUAGCCGUACCAUGACCUUUAAUUACUUCGCUCUGCCAUAAAUUAUGUAACAAACUGGUCCGACGACUGAGAAGUACCUGUCGGUUACUUCAGCCGUCCAUUUUAUUAAUAACUUGAUUAUUGCAUUUCCUGUACGAUGCCAUAGUUCGACGAUACCGUCGUCCAAUCACAGCGGCUGCUGCUGCCGUUGCCGUUGCUACUACCGACUACGCCACAUCCGAGCAGUGUAAUUGUCCAAGCGCUUGCAAGCCAUAACCAGAAGCUGCGCUCACGCGCGCUUUCCGAUUUUAUCGUUUGUAUUACCAGUUAACCAUGUUCCGUCGCAAAUGCGUUCUGUGUUCAGCCUCCUGUGGGCCUGCACCACAAGCCUAAUGAAAGCAGUCCACAAGCCUUGUAAUCCACAAGCCUAAUGAAAGCCGACCGGCUCAGUAAGGCUUGGAUCAACGCAAUAAUGCCAGUGCGCUCGAUUUCCGUUUCCCGACUGUCGUUUGACCCUAACAAGCCGACACCUUGUUUGACCGAUUACCAGCAACCGUAAAUAUCCGCCCGAUGGACGGAUACCGUUUGGAUUCCACACGUGUUCUCCGACCUCGUCUGUUUACGUAGUUUCGGUACAGCUAUGGAAAACUGGCUCCCUUGGACUACGGAGUAUCGUCAACCAAACAGCUCAGUAUAAUCGCUUAGCAUUAGCCUUGUUUUAUCGCUUAUGUAAAGUCAGCCAGCAAAUAAAUCAAAAUUUUCAAUAAAAAGAGCUUAUUCCAAAAACUUCAAAAAUAACGUAUUUUAUUCAUUUUGUUCUUAUAUUUGCUUAAUUAUCAAUUUGAUUCAGGUUCUUGCGUUGUAUUUACUUAGAUUUCAAAUUAUCCGGAUUUUUGUGUUAAAAUUUUUGAUUAUAAAAAGAUCGCUUUGUUCUUGGAGAAAAUUUAUCAAAAACUACCGGCCAGGAAAUUUCCUUCGAGAAUUGUCAAAUUUUAGUUCGAAUUUCAAUAAAAGUUCUUGGAGAUAGACCCGGUUCUAUCCGCGGGAACCCAGUAAUUUUAAGGUUCGCUGCAGCGAACCCAGUUAUAUUAGGUUCGCCCACAGCUUUAAGUCGCCGAUUUUUAUCAGUCAUUACCGCCUUCCAACGAACAGUGAGUGAUCAGAUCAAAUAACCUGCAUUAUGGUCAUGGUUAACGCAUUGUAUUUUCGCGAUUAGCUGGAGAUCUACUUUCUGGGGCAAGAUUUGAAAUUUAUUAAUUAAAAUUUCCUACGAAGAUGCUGGUGCAGCAGUUUGUUUGCUAAAUGUCGAGGUGAGUAUAAUCGCUAAAAAUCUUCUAAAAAAAACAACGAAGUUCUUAAUAAAAUAAAAGUGUCUGAUCAGCAAUCCCGUCGCUGUAGCAAUACUUCGGUCAUGGGCGAUGACGUCGAUACAGAGCCGCCGCGUAACAACUCUAGCUUUGGGCGCAUCACUGGUUAACGAGGUGUUGAGCCGUAAGUACGCGACUUGACCGCAAGACAUGCUACUAAUCUACUCAGACAAAUUAACAAUGCACUCGUCUGUACAAGUGUACGAAAAAUUGCAACACGGGGAGAAGAAGUGGACGCUAAGCGCGUGUUAUAGACAGGCGAACAAACAGUGUUUGAAACCAGCGAAAUAAGAUCUUGGAAAUGAGCAAAUGAAUUUUUCGUACAGAUCUUGCCUCAGAAAAUAGGAUUUUCUGUUUAAUUUCGUGAAUACGGUGUGGUGCUGUGGUUUUGGUGUUUGGUUGACCGCGGAUCAAAGUUCAAGUUCAAGUGCGACCGAAUGACAUCAUCGUUAGCACCGCAUUUAUUAUAAAAAUGAGUCAGGGAAUCUAAAUCCAAAAACAUUUAUAAAAUGAAAAUUUGGUUUAACCCGGGUUUUCCCUAAAAGCGUUACGAAAAUAAAAAUACAAAUUAUUCCGCUGUAUUACCUAUAUUUUUUAUAACCGUAUCAAUUAUAAAUAUUAUUUGCAUAAUAAUACCCGUUGUUUCUUGGAUGUGUUUUAAAAAUUUCUAAACGCAAAAAUAGCUGCUUUAUCGUAUUGCUGGUUGACUGGCUUUUCUGCUUUUCUUGUCUAGUUAUGGACUGCGGACAGUCCUUUUCACACGGAGAGAAGUGUCACGUAAUGAUUUUUAUAUAGAUAACUGAGCGACAGCUCUGAUUCACUUUUAUGAUGUGCUUCUGUUUACUGAUUCAUUUGAGCGAUAUGCUCACUCGUGCUAUCUGAUAGCAUUAUUCUCUACUUGUUUGCCUACAAAUACUGCUGUUCUUUAUUUCUAAUGACAUUAACGGAUGCAUGCAUUCAGUACCACUUCCGACAGUACACUUUGUACUUCUGCCUGAUUUCUUUCCUAAUAACAAUUCCCUGCCUCG